CUGAUCCAGCCAUCCCGCGUGUGCGAUGAAGGCCUUCGGGUUGUAAAGCACUUUUGGCAGGAAAGAAACGUCGCGGGCUAAUACCUCGCGAAACUGACGGUACCUGCAGAAUAAGCACCGGCUAACUACGUGCCAGCAGCCGCGGUAAUACGUAGGGUGCAAGCGUUAAUCGGAAUUACUGGGCGUAAAGCGUGCGCAGGCGGUUCGGAAAGAAAGAUGUGAAAUCCCAGAGCUUAACUUUGGAACUGCAUUUUUAACUACCGGGCUAGAGUGUGUCAGAGGGAGGUGGAAUUCCGCGUGUAGCAGUGAAAUGCGUAGAUAUGCGGAGGAACACCGAUGGCGAAGGCAGCCUCCUGGGAUAACACUGACGCUCAUGCACGAAAGCGUGGGGAGCAAACAGGAUUAGAUACCCUGGUAGUCCACGCCCUAAACGAUGUCAACUAGCUGUUGGGGUCUUCGGACCUUGGUAGCGCAGCUAACGCGUGAAGUUGACCGCCUGGGGAGUACGGUCGCAAGAUUAAAACUCAAAGGAAUUGACGGGGACCCGCACAAGCGGUGGAUGAUGUGGAUUAAUUCGAUGCAACGCGAAAAACCUUACCUACCCUUGACAU
rnacentral:rRNA from 1 species